rnacentral:piRNA from 1 species
UGGGACCGGUCUCACAGUUCUUCAGUUGUCU